rnacentral:rRNA from 1 species
AGUGAACGCUGGCGGUAGGCCUAACACAUGCAAGUCGAACGGCAGCACAGUAAGAGCUUGCUCUUACGGGUGGCGAGUGGCGGACGGGUGAGGAAUACAUCGGAAUCUACUUUUUCGUGGGGGAUAACGUAGGGAAACUUACGCUAAUACCGCAUACGACCUACGGGUGAAAGCAGGGGAUCUUCGGACCUUGCGCGAUUGAAUGAGCCGAUGUCGGAUUAGCUAGUUGGCGGGGUAAAGGCCCACCAAGGCGACGAUCCGUAGCUGGUCUGAGAGGAUGAUCAGCCACACUGGAACUGAGGCACGGUCCAGACUCCUACGGGAGGCAGCAAUGGGGAAUAUUGGACAAUGGGCGCAAGCCUGAUCCAGCCAUACCGCGUGGGUGAAGAAGGCCUUCGGGUUGUAAAGCCCUUUUGUUGGGAAAGAAAAGCAGCAGGUUAAUACCCCGCUGUUCUGACGGUACCCAAAGAAUAAGCACCGGCUAACUUCGUG